UACGUAGGAUGCAAGCGUUGUCCGGAAUUAUUGGGCGUAAAGAGCGUGUAGGCGGCCCGAUAAGUCCGCUGUGAAAGUCCAGGGCUCAACCCUGGGAUGCCGGUGGAUACUGUCGGGCUCGAGUCCGGAAGAGGAGUGUGGAAUUCCUGGUGUAGCGGUGAAAUGCGCAGAUAUCAGGAGGAACACCAAUGGCGAAGGCAGCUCGCUGGGACGGUACUGACGCUGGAGACGCGAAAGCGUGGGGAGCAAACAGG
rnacentral:rRNA from 1 species